CCUACGGGCGGCAGCAGUGGGGAAUAUUGGGCAAUGGGCGCAAGCCUGACCCAGCAACGCCGCGUGAAGGAAGAAGGCUUUCGGGUUGUAAACUUCUUUUAAGCGGGAAGAGCAGAAGACGGUACCUCUCGAAUAAGCCAUGGCUAACUACGUGCCAGCAGCCGCGGGAAUACGUAGGUCGCAAGCGUUGUCCGGAUUUACUGGGUGUAACGGGCGUGCAGCCGGGAAGACAAGUCAGAUGUGAAAUCCCGCGGCUCAACCGCGGAACUGCAGUUGAAACUGUUUUUCUUGAGUACCGGAGAGGUCAUCGGAAUGCCUGGUGUAGCGGUGAAAUGCGUAGAUAUAACGAAGAACACCAGUGGCGAAGGCGGAUGACUGGACGGCAACUGACGGUGAGGCGCGAAAGCGUGGGGAGCGAACAGGAUUAGAUACCCCAGUAGUC
rnacentral:rRNA from 1 species